rnacentral:miRNA from 1 species
GGGAUUAAAGGCGUGCGCCACCACCGCCCGGCCCAAGUACUGGGAUUAAAGGUGUGUGCCACCACCACAGGGCGUGCAUACACAUUUUCAAAAGCAGAAAAUAAGCCGGGUAGUGGUGGCACAUGCUUUUAAUCCCAG